CACUUUUCAGAAGUAGUCAACAAUCUGCAACCAAAGAAAACUGAGGAUUUGAGAGAGACGAUAGCACCACCUGGAUAUGCGCAGUGCAGAGAAUCCAGCUCAGACUGCAUUCUUGGAAAGCAAGCGCUAUCUUGCUAAGCCACCUCCCCACCUGUGCAACCGCUGUUUUGACCUUUGUGAUAACUAAAUCCUUGUUUUCAUUCUUGCUAGGUAUCAGCAUAUAAAGCUUUUUAGGACACUGUAAUCGAAGGAAUUCAAUCCAUGAGGGAAAUAGUAAAAUAAAUGUGCUGUGUUGGUGAACCAUAAAUGAUAUUGUCUUUCUCCCGGGGCAGCUGUGAAUGUGUGAACUCAUCGGUGGUGUGGACCCUGCCCAAAUAGUAAUCAACACAGAAACCUUAUAAAAUUACCAACAAAUCACAACUUCUGUCUACCAGCACUUUUGAUGCCCCAAGCCUAGAGUUUUUGUUUUGUUUCCCACUGAAGUUGUUUGUGAUUUAGAGUCUUUGGGGCUGUGAAGGAAAACAUAGGUUCACACUCAACGAAUGAACUUUGGCAAAUCGGAGGGUACAUUUGUGGUGUAUUUACAAAAAAGAAACAAUCACCACCUAGCAAACCAAAGAUCCUUUAUUUUCUCUUUCUCACUUUCAUAACCCAGGAUAAAUUUAAUAAAGUUGUCUUGCCUUAGGCUGAA